UACGGGGGGGGCAAGCGUUGUUCGGAAUUACUGGGCGUAAAGGGCGCGUAGGCGGCCUGCUAAGUCGGACGUGAAAUCCCUCGGCUCAACCGAGAAACGUCGGCUGAUACUGCCGUUCUUGAGGGAUGCAGAGGAGACUGGAAUUCCCGGUGUAGCGGUGAAAUGUGUAGAGAUCGGGAGGAACACCGGUGGCGAAGGCGGGUCUCUGGGCAUCUCCUGACGCUGAGGCGCGAAAGCGUGGGGAGCAAACGGG
rnacentral:rRNA from 1 species